GGACGGGUGAGUAAUGUCUGGGAAACUGCCUGAUGGAGGGGGAUAACUACUGGAAACGGUAGCUAAUACCGCAUAACGUCGCAAGACCAAAGUGGGGGACCUUCGGGCCUCAUGCCAUCAGAUGUGCCCAGAUGGGAUUAGCUAGUAGGUGGGGUAAUGGCUCACCUAGGCGACGAUCCCUAGCUGGUCUGAGAGGAUGACCAGCCACACUGGAACUGAGACACGGUCCAGACUCCUACGGGAGGCAGCAGUGGGGAAUAUUGCACAAUGGGCGCAAGCCUGAUGCAGCCAUGCCGCGUGUAUGAAGAAGGCCUUCGGGUUGUAAAGUACUUUCAGCGAGGAGGAAGGCGUUAAGGUUAAUAACCUUGGCGAUUGACGUUACUCGCAGAAGAAGCACCGGCUAACUCCGUGCCAGCAGCCGCGGUAAUACGGAGGGUGCAAGCGUUAAUCGGAAUUACUGGGCGUAAAGCGCACGCAGGCGGUCUGUCAAGUCGGAUGUGAAAUCCCCGGGCUCAACCUGGGAACUGCAUUCGAAACUGGCAGGCUAGAGUCUUGUAGAGGGGGGUAGAAUUCCAGGUGUAGCGGUGAAAUGCGUAGAGAUCUGGAGGAAUACCGGUGGCGAAGGCGGCCCCCUGGACAAAGACUGACGCUCAGGUGCGAAAGCGUGGGGAGC
rnacentral:rRNA from 1 species